GGGUUGUGAGGUUAAGCGACUAAGCGUACACGGUGGAUGCCCUGGCAGUCAGAGGCGAUGAAGGGCGUGCUAAUCUGCGAUAAGCGCCGGUAAGGUGAUAUGAACCGUUAUAACCGGCGAUACCCGAAUGGGGAAACCCAGUGUGAUUCGUCACACUAUCAUUAACUGAAUCCAUAGGUUAAUGAGGCGAACCGGGGGAACUGAAACAUCUAAGUACCCCGAGGAAAAGAAAUCAACCGAGAUUCCCCCAGUAGCGGCGAGCGAACGGGGAGGAGCCCAGAGCCUGAAUCAGCAUGUGUGUUAGUGGAAGCGUCUGGAAAGGCGCGCGAUACAGGGUGACAGCCCCGUACACAAAAGCGCAUGUGCUGUGAGCUCGAUGAGUAGGGCGGGACACGUGGUAUCCUGUCUGAAUAUGGGGGGACCAUCCUCCAAGGCUAAAUACUCCUGACUGACCGAUAGUGAACCAGUACCGUGAG
rnacentral:rRNA from 1 species